AACGCGAAGAACCUUACCAAGGCUUGACAUCUAGAGAAGUCACCAGAAAUGGAGAUGUGCCCGCAAGGGAACUCUAAGACAGGUGGUGCAUGGCUGUCGUCAGCUCGUGCCGUGAGGUGUUGGGUUAAGUCCCGCAACGAGCGCAACCCUUACUCAUAGUUGCUACCCGCAAGGGAGAACUCUAUGAGGACUGCUCCGGAUAACGGAGAGGAAGGUGGGGAUGAGGUCAAGUCAGCAUGGCCUUUAUGUCCAGGGCUACACACGUGUUACAAUGCGCGCUACAGAGCGUUGCAAACCCGCGAGGGGGAGCUAAUCGCACAAAAGCGCGCUCAGUUCGGAUUGCAGUCUGCAACUCGACUGCAUGAAGCCGGAAUCGCUAGUAAUGGCGCAUCAGAACGGCGCCGUGAAUACGUUCCCGGGCCUUGUACACACCGACUGUAC
rnacentral:rRNA from 1 species